AGAGUUUGAUCCUGGCUCAGGAUGAACGCUGGCGGCGUGCCUAACACAUGCAAGUCGAGCGUGAAGCUGUCAAAUGAAACUUCGGUAGAAUGAAACAGUGGAAAGCGGCGGACGGGUGAGUAACGCGUAGGCAACCUGCCCCGUACAGGGGGAUAGCCUCGGGAAACCGGGAUUAAGACCCCAUAAAACCAAUGGGACACAUGUUUUGUUGGUCAAAGAUUUAUCGGUAUGGGAUGGGCCUGCGUCUGAUUAGCUGGUUGGUGGGGUAAUGGCUCACCAAGGCAACGAUCAGUAGCCGACCUGAGAGGGUGAUCGGCCACAUUGGAACUGAGACACGGUCCAAACUCCUACGGGAGGCAGCAGUGGGGAAUAUUGCACAAUGGGCGAAAGCCUGAUGCAGCAACGCCGCGUGAACGAGGAAGGCCUUUGGGUCGUAAAGUUCUGUCGGGAAGGAAGAUAAUGACGGUACUUUCCGAGGAAGCCCCGGCUAACUACGUGCCAGCAGCCGCGGUAAUACGUAGGGGGCAAGCGUUAUCCGGAAUUAUUGGGCGUAAAGGGUGCGUAGGCGGUUUCAUAAGCGUGGGGUGAAGGCCAUUGGCUUAACCAAUGUAAGCCCCGCGAACUGUGUAACUUGAGUACAGGAGAGGAAAGCGGAAUUCCUAGUGUAGCGGUGAAAUGCUUAGAUAUUAGGAGGAACACCAGUGGCGAAGGCGGCUUUCUGGACUGUCACUGACGCCGAUGCACGAAAGCGUGGGGAGCAAACAGGAUUAGAUACCCUGGUAGUCCACGCUGUAAACGAUGAGCACUAGGUGUUGGGGUUCGCAAGAAUUUGGUGCCGCAGUUAACGCAUUAAGUGCUCCCGCCUGGGGAGUACGUGCGCAAGCAUGAAACUCAAAGGAAUUGACGGGGACCCGCACAAGCAGCGGAGCAUGUGGUUUAAUUCGAAGCAACGCGAAGAACCUUACCAGGGCUUGACAUCCCUCUGACCGGUCGGUAACGCGACCUUCUCUUCGGAGCAGAGGUGACAGGUGGUGCAUGGUUGUCGUCAGCUCGUGUCGUGAGAUGUUGGGUUAAGUCCCGCAACGAGCGCAACCCUUGUCAUUAGUUGCCAUCAGGUAGAGCUGGGCACUCUAAUGAGACCGCCGGGGAUAACUCGGAGGAAGGUGGGGAUGACGUCAAAUCAUCAUGCCCCUUAUGUUCUGGGCUACACACGUGCUACAAUGGCCGGUACAAAGAGCAGCGACCACGCGAGUGCGAGCGAAACUUAAAAACCGGUCUCAGUUCGGAUUGCAGGCUGAAACCCGCCUGCAUGAAGCAGGAGUUGCUAGUAAUCGUGAAUCAGAAUGUCACGGUGAAUGCGUUCCCGGGUCUUGUACACACCGCCCGUCA
rnacentral:rRNA from 1 species